CUCACAAAUGUUUCCUGCCUCCGCCCCUGAAAACGGCUAUAAUAUAUUAGCAAUGUUUGCUAGUAACAAGAUCUCCGAAUCUGGUGGCAAUGAUCACUACCAUCUCAGUUUAUUGCGAUAGAUUUGCGUUAGAACAAAAUGAAAAGUUUUUACAAUAGAAGGAGGCGACGGACCGCCGCCACCAAUUGGCUCUUUUAUAAGAGUAAAGAUAUGCGGGAAACUACAUUUUCUUUUGUUAUUUUUGCACAUGCCACAAAAAAUAAUACAUAAAUGCAAUAUUAUUUGGAUUUGUAUUUUUUUAGAAACACCCAUUACAACAGUAGAUGCAUGCACACCAAGACUGAAGGAAUAAUUCGCCUCAGGCACACAGGACGUCAAAAUAGUUGUACAUUUAGGUUUGUCAAAUGAGGCAUGCAGAACGUGAAAAUAGUUGUACAUUUAGGUUUGUCCUGAGUCAAACUUCUCUAGUUAAAUUUGAUCAACUUUAUACAAAAGUAUCCUAAGAUUUACAACACCAAAUUAGUUUCAUUGCAUUCGUCGUGAAAAAUAUAUGUUCAUAUUGUAUCCAUUUAGUGUCCUAAAAAUGGUGAAGGGUGGACUUCAAGAAACAAUAAAAAAAAUCAGAGAAAUCAUCUAUAACUAUUACUCCAUAUAAUUAAAAUAAAAGGACAGUGAGCCAUCAAGUUCGUUCAUAUUGACAAAUAAUUUCCACAGUCAAUCAUUGUGGAUCCAGAUUAUGACGGUUUAGAAUUAAAGAUAAAAAUAACACAAAAAAUUCAGACAGAGAUACAUAUAUACGAGUAUAUAACCGUGCAUCCGUGAUUGCACCUUAGGAAGAGGAACCAAUAAAAAAAAUUAACAG
rnacentral:lncRNA from 1 species